rnacentral:misc_RNA from 1 species
GAUGAAGAACGCAGCGAAAUGCGAUAAGUAAUGUGAAUUGCAGAAUUCAGUGAAUCAUCGAAUCUUUGAACGCACUUUGCGCCCCCUGGUAUUCCGGGGGGCAUGCCUGUCCGAGCGUCAUUACAACCCUCAAGCUCAGCUUGGUGUUGGGCCCCGCCGCCCCGGCGGGCCCUAAAGUCAGUGGCGGUGCCGUCCGGCUCCGAGCGUAGUAAUUCUUCUCGCUCUGGAGGUCCGGUCGUGUGCUCGCCAGCAACCCCCAAUUUUUUUCAGGUUGACCUCGGAUCAGGUAGGGAUACCCGCUGAACUUAAGCAUAUCAAUAAGCGGAGGA